CGCUGUUUUUGAUUCGUUAUGAAACUAGAAUUUAAUCUGUGCAUAAAGAAUACCUCAUGUAGUCCUUGUAAUCUGUGAAGAACUGUAAUCCACCUGCUUUACACAUGAGAAGGUGGACUUGUGUAGAGUGUGUCCCCUGACUGUGGCUAGGCCACCGUGGGUUUGCCAAUGGGAAGAAUGGCUAUUGCCAGUCAUGUUUCCAGUUGGGUCAGUAUGGAUGAUUUUACACACCUGUUUUCUUUGAUAUUACCUCUUUAUAUGUCUAUGAGCCAUUAUAAAUUCACAGGCAAUUAAAUCUUGUUAAAAAUACAGCCCAAGUAGCCCACACUGUCCUCCUUGUGGCUCCUUCUCAAGGGCAGUCAUUGGUGGACAAGAUUCCUCUUGACUGUCCCCCUCCCUGUUUUCACUCUUUCCCCUUUAUCUCACAUUACCUUUUGUUUUGUUUCCCCUAAUCUAAAACCUGAUUCUGUUCCCACUGUAUCACCAGUUGUCCAUCCUGAGACUCCAGUGGAUCCCUGACAUACGCCAAGACUCUCUCUCUGAAGAAACACAGCGCAGCGCCUGAUACUCAGCCUAGCACAGCAUUGGGUGACGCCCGUGUGAGCACCUGCUCUGGUCUCUCAAGCUCUAGUCCUUCCAGGCACAUUCAGAGUGUACCCAGAGCUCUGUCUCACAACUGUGAGGAGGGCGGUGAUAGUAGCUAAAUGGGCUCAAACAUUCUGAAGGUCCUGUUGACAUCACACCAUUCCGUCAGAACCUGCUCUCUAGUCUGUUAAAGAAAUGCACCCGAGGAACAGGCCAUGGGCAUCCAGGGUUCAGAACUUACACCUAGAGACUGAUCAUACAUUACUUUCUCCAAAUGAUCUUCUUGUGAGAACAACCUACAUAACCAGUUCAGUACCCCAGGGAGGAGGAGAUUGGUAAGUCACCAGCUUUACUUGGGUUUUUCAUAUGGACAAGUUCAUGCUCAUGUGUCUGUAUUCCUUCUGUGCGGCUGUAUGUCUUGUGUGUGUGCUGUGAUCUUUAUUAAGAUGUACACAAUUCUAUGUCAAGGCUCCAUCGUGGUUCUCAAAGGAUUCUGUUUCCCCAACAUCCCUGACAACCAUUAAUUUCAUCUGUCUAUAAAAGUGAGGACAUGACUGCUCCAAGAUCCAGGUCUGUCAGAGUCUGUGCUGUGAAAACUGAGAUGGAAAAGAAGAGUAUUCUGCCCUCUGGAGAAACAGAUCUACUUCUUUUCAAUCCCUCUCCCCCUUAUUCCCCCACUCAGGCCCCAGUGCUGGCUCCACAGGGAAGGGCAGCUGCCCCAGAACCCAUGCACCCUUGGCUCUGCCAGCACAGGCUCUCCAGGGGUCGGAGACAGGUGCACCCGGAGAUCAGAGCCUGGCAGCUGGGACACAGAGCAGGUGGGUAGGAACCCCUGAUGCCUCCAUUUUACCCCUCUAGGCCCAUGGCACCCCAGAUGACCAAGGCAACCAACCUCUCCAGUAUUGGCCAUUUUCUUUGGCCAAUCUCUAUAACUGGAAAACUCAUAACUCCUCCUUCUCUGAAAACCCCCAGGCUUUGACUAAUCUUUUGGAUUCUAUUCUCUUCUCUCACCAACUGACUGCCAACAGUUGCUUCAAACUCUCUUCACAACGGAGGAGAGGCAACAGAUCCUCCUUGAAGCUAGGAAGAAUGUUACCCAGACCAGAUGGGAGACCUUCCCUUCUGCCCAAUGAGAUAGAUACUGGGUUUUCCCUUACUAGGCCUUCGUGGAACUACAACUCCCCUGAAGGUAGGGAGCACCUGAGGGUCUACUGCCAGAUUCUAAUGGUGGGUCUCUGAGGGGCAGCACGAUGCCCCACCAAUUUGGCCAAGGUAAGGGAAAUGGUCCAGGGCUCGACAGAAUCUCCCUCAGCAUUCCUUGAGUACAUUGAUGGAGGUGUUCCACCCUAUGACCUUACAGCAGAAGAAUAUAAGGCUACUGUUACUGUAGCCUUUAUAGAUCAGCCAACCAAGGAUAUUAAGAGGAAGUUGCAGAAGUUAGAAGGAUUACAAGAUAAGUCAUUGAGGGAACUUGUGCAGGUAGCCGAGAAAGUGUUUUAUAACAGGGAGACAGAGGAGGAAAAAGAAGAGAGAAGGCAGGAAGAACAGGAGGCUAGGGAGCUAAAAAGAGACAUGAGACAAGAAAGAAAUCUUCAUAGAAUCCUGGCCACCAUAGUGAAAGAAGCUAGAGAGCCUCAGGAAUCUAGUAAGAUAGAACAUGGCAACAGAAGAGAACCCCUGGCUAAAGACCAGUGUGCAUACUGCAAAGGAAAAGGGCAUUGGGCAAGAGAAUAUCCCAAAAAACCAAAUUAAAGAGGAGCCCCACAACUCAAAGUAUUGGCGGUACAGGAAGAAGAGAGUGAUUAGUGGGGAUGGGGUUCUGACCCCCUCCCCAAACCUAGGGUAACUCUCAGAGUGGAAGGGAAACCCACCUGUUUCUUGGUAGACACAGGAGCACAACACUCAGUCUUGCUAUAAACUGAUGGACCCUUGUUCCCCAAAAGAUCUUGGGUCCAAGGGGCUACUGGGAGUAAACAAUAUCCAUGGACUACCCAAAGAACAGUGGACCUAGGCAUGGGCUGGGUAUCCCACUAAUUCCUUGUCAUACCAGAAUACCCCUACCUACUGUUGGGACAAGAUCUUCUCACCAAAUUGGGGGUCCAAAUCCACUUCCUCCCCAAAGAGCCUGUAGUUAAAGGACAGAAAGGAGAGCCCAUACAAGUCUUGACUGAUAAACUAGAAGAUGAGUAUAAACUCUAUGAGCACAUAAGACCCCAAAAUAAAGAAAUGAAAAACUGGCUCCACAAGUUCCUGGAAGCCUGGGCAGAGAUGGCAGGCAUGGGGAGGGCCAAGUAUCAGUCUCCUGUCCAUGUAGAACUUAAAGCUCAGGCCUCCCCCAUAGCAGUCUGGCAGUACCCUAUGCCCAAGGAAGCUUGAGAUGGGAUAAGACCUCAUAUCCAGUGCCUCCUCCAGAUGGACAUUCUGAGGAAGUGUUCAUCUGCUUGGAAUACUCCUCUCCUUCCUGUGUGAAAACCAGGGACUGAUGACUACCUUCCCAUUCAGGAUCUGAGAGGUAAAUAAACAGGUAGCUGACUUACAUCCAACAGUCCCCAAUCCCUACAGUCUCUUGAGCACCCUGUCACCAGAACAGGUUUGGUACAUGGUAUUAGAUCUCAAGGAUGCUUUCUUCUGUCUAACCCUGUCCCCCAACCCCCGAGCCAAGAGUACUUCGCCUUCGAGUGGAAAGAUCCUGAGUCGGGAACAACUGGACAGCUGGCAUGAACCUGCCUGCCUCAAGGAUUUAAGAACUCUCCUACCAUCUUUGAUGAAGCCUUACAUCAAGAUUUGGCUACCUUUAGAGCCCCCAGCCUGCAGGUAACCCUCUUGUAGUAUGUGGACGACCUUCUGCUGGCUGCAUCCAGCAGAGAACUGUGCCUACAAGGAACCAGACACCUGCUCGCUGAGCUUGGGAAAUUGGGGUAUUGAGCGUCGUCCAAGAAAGCCCAGAUUUGCCAGCAACAGGUCAGUUACUUGGGUUACCUAAUAAAAGAGGGACAACGGUGGCUCUCUGAAGCUAGAAAAGAGACUGUGAUUCAUAUUCCCCCACCGACCAGUUCAAGACAAAUUAGAGAGUUCCUGGGCACUUGGGGCUUUUGUAGACUGUGGAUUCCAGGUUUUGCUGAAUUAGCUGCCCCACUUUAUCCCCUCACAAGAGAUAAACAUCCCUUUGUAUGGGGAAAUAAAGAACAACAGGCCUUUGAUGCCAUUAAGACUGCCCUAAUGUCGGCCCCAGCUUUGUGCCUCCUGGAUGUGACUAAGCCCUUCCAUCUGUUUGUGGCUGAGAACAAAGGUAUUGCCAAAGGGGUUCUUACUCAGAGAUUGGGGUCCUGAAAAAGACCUUUGGUUUACCUAUCUAAAAAAUUAGACCCUGUGGCUGCAGGAUGGCCUGCUUGUCUGCGCAUAGUGGCUGCUGUGGUGUUACUGGUCAAGGAUGCAGAUAAAUUGACUCUGGGGCAGAACUUGGUGAUCUCAGUGAUGCAUAUCCUAGAAAGUGUGGUUCAUCAGUCCCUGAUUGAUGGCUAAUGCUUGCAUGACACAUUAUCAGACUCUGCUGCUCAACUCUGAUAGAAUAACAUUCACUUAGCCUGCCAGUCUGAACCCUGCCACACUGCUACCAGAUCCAGACUUGGAGCCUCCCAUCCAUGACCGUAAACAGGCACUAGCCGAGACCCACGGCUGGCAUAAAGAUCUGUCAGACCAGCCUCUCCAGAUGCUGAAAUCACAUGGUUCACAGAUGGGAGCAGUUUUGUAGAGGGAGGACAGCGAAAUGCAGGAGCAGCAGUGGUUGAUGGGCAUAACAUUGUAUGGGCACAGGCCUUGCCUGAAGGGACGUUCACCCAGAAGGCUGAACUUGUUGUACUCACAAAAGCAUUAAAAUUGGCCGAGGACAAGAAGGUCAAUAUCUACACUGACAGCAGGUAUGCCUUCACCACUGCACAUGUGCAUGGCACGAUCUACCAGCAGCGAGGCCUCCUGACUUCAGGGGGCAAAGAAAUUAAAAAUAAGCCUGAAAUCUUGGCACUGCUUAAAGCUCUGAUGAAACCUGCAAAAGUCGGAGACUCAGUCUACGUGAGGCAGCAUCGAGCACAGACAUUUGAGCCUCACUGGAAAGGACCAUACCUAGUGCUGCUGACCACCCCAACAGCCGGCAAGGUGGAUGGAAUAGCUGCCUGGAUCUACGCAUCCCACGUGAAGACAGCUACCCUGGUAGCUUUCACUGAGGGUCUUUAUCACAGCAACAGAAAGCAAACUGGGAUGGCUGACUGGGUUUCAGGAAGAAGCCACAGGUCAAUGUUGGCAGACGUGUUGGAGCAGUAGGGCCAAGGAGACAGCAUCCUGUCUGAUCCUCCCGGUGAAUCACCUUCACGGUUUCCUGUUGGUCCUGGGACAGAGGGGGAGGAAAUCUGUUCCUCCCCCAACCCCCAUCCCCAACCAUGGACUCUGAGUACUAGAAGUUCAUAAAUCAACAGUGCCACCCCUUGUGAAGACCUGCGUCCCACUCUGUGUGCUAGCAAGCCAUAUAUGUCCACGGAUGUACUCCUGUCUCACCUGGUCACGCUUGGAAAUUUUACACAUUUGCAUAUUUGCACUGUUGCUUGAAUGACUAUGAGGGACUCCAGAGCAUAAAGAUCUUCAGUGGUGGCAAAUUUUCAGGAUGUAAGGCCUGGGCUUCAACGAGCCACCACUCAUCAGAGCUUCGUGGGUCAGGAUGGUGGUACCUUGCCGUAAUCCCAGCUCUGAGGAACGGAGUCAUAAGAGUCUUUGGGCCAAUCUGGGCUACAUAGCAAGACGCCAACAGUAUCAACAACAAAGGAGUGCAUGGCCCAAUAGCAUCUGCAGCUGUAGAAUGCAAGGCAGUCUGAGAAAUGAAAGUCUCCCCUCAAAGCUACAAUGUUGAGAGUUGGAUUGAAUCCAAGGAUGUAAAAGCUGCGGAGAUGGAGGCUCCCUCUUCCUUUGGAGGGCUCUUUUCCCCUCUUGUCUAUUAUGCCCUGAGGAAGAGGCUCACAGCUUGUCAAUUUCUCUGCCUUGGGACAGUUCGUGUGCAUUGCUGUGGGUUUCCGAAGAUCACUUAAUUGGAACACUAUGGAUUCUGGUUAUUGUACACGUGUUGUCAUGCAGCCACCAGUGACAAGUGAGACACACAGCAUGCCACCACCUCACACAAGGUCCCUGACUAUUUCUGCAAUCCUGCUCUUAUCCUUGGGCCCGACAGUCAGGGACCUGUUCUCCAUCACACGGUUCUGUCUUUUAUAAAAUUUCAUAUAAACGACACCAAGCAACAUGU